CCCCGACUCUCUCUUCCUCUCCGACCUCGUCACCUUCUUCCGGCCAUAACUCCUCCAUCCGGCGACGGAUUUUGACGUCAACGAGAAGAAGAUGACGGUCACUGUAGCAUUUUUGAGGCAGCGUCGAUAUUUUCCGAUUCCGGCAGUCUCCGGCCACCAAAUUGGCGUCGAAGGGUUCUUGGAGUUUUCGGGAAAAAUUUCACCGGCCUAAUUGGAGCUCUUCCAGGGCGACGUACCGAGCUAUUGCUCGACGAAGGAACUCGUAUGCAUGGUCGCCUAAACAGUAUUUUUGCAGGCCAGUUUAGCUUGAGGUCGAGCGUACUUGGGGUUGAGGCAUAGCUGUCAUAGCUUCCGCAUUA
rnacentral:lncRNA from 1 species